rnacentral:rRNA from 1 species
AUUGAACGCUGGCGGCAUGCUUUACACAUGCAAGUCGAACGGCAGCGCGGGCUUCGGCCUGGCGGCGAGUGGCGAACGGGUGAGUAAUACAUCGGAACGUGCCCAGUAGUGGGGGAUAGCUCGGCGAAAGCCGGAUUAAUACCGCAUACGACCUGAGGGGGAAAGCAGGGGAUCUUCGGACCUCGCGCUAUUGGAGCGGCCGAUGGCAGAUUAGCUAGUUGGUGGGGUAAAGGCCUACCAAGGCGACGAUCUGUAGCUGGUCUGAGAGGACGACCAGCCACACUGGGACUGAGACACGGCCCAGACUCCUACGGGAGGCAGCAGUGGGGAAUUUUGGACAAUGGGCGAAAGCCUGAUCCAGCAAUGCCGCGUGUGUGAUGAAGGCCUUCGGGUUGUAAAGCACUUUUGGAGGGAACGAAAAGGACUGUGCCAAUACCACGGUUCGAUGACGGUACCCGCAGAAUAAGCACCGGCUAACUACGUG